rnacentral:snRNA from 1 species
AUACUUGCCUGGCAGGGGAGAUGCCAUGAUCACAAAUGUGGUUUUCCCAGGGUGAAGUUCACCAUUGCACUCCAGAGGCUCAGACCCCUGUGUUUUCCCCAAAUGAAAAAGAAAGAAAGAAAGA